AAACAAGAGAGUUUGAUCCUGGCUCAGGAUAAACGCUGGCGGCGCACAUAAGACAUGCAAGUCGAACGGACAGAA
rnacentral:rRNA from 1 species